AUAAUUUCGUUAUUCCACCAAAAUUCUGGUCCUUUUGGCCUAACCUAAAUGACGAACUAGGAACGAGAACGGGAUUCAUAACGAAACUCGUGUAAAUUAACCUGCUAUCGUUCCCUUUAUAAUAAAUAUAUGAGCGGCGUUGAUGCAUGUAAGCGGUCAAUAUCGUAUCCCCUUAGGGGCUGUAAAUAUUUUGAUUGUAAAGUGUUCAACUAUUUUACAAAAUAUUUAUAGAUUAAUUUAGCAAAACAACUUAAUAUUCAGACAAUUAUAUUAGGGCUACAUUAAAGCAUAGCCUAUCGAAGGGAAGAUGGCUAUGAAACUCAUCAGAAUAACAAUAUAACUCAUUAAUUAAAAAAACUUAUUAAUAAUUCAUGAGGAAAAUUCAAAAGAAAUGAAUGUUUAAUCGAUGUUUGUAAAUCGGAUAAAGAUUUGACCUGAUUUACAUAAACUUCAGCUUUGAUUUCUCGGCUUAGGUAAUCUUUAUUUUUAAAAUUACUUCGCCAAUAAACUCAUAAGGCCAAGGAAAAAAAAUAGUAGUUUCUCGUCCGAAUUUGAAAAAAAAAGGAGAAUGUGGGCGCUUUUUUUGUUAAACCUUCAAAUAUUGCUGCACUCAAAGUUUACCAAAAUAACCUAUAAACACACGCAAAGAUUGAAGUUUACUCAUAAAACGUAAAUAUAUAAUAUUAAAAAACACAAACAGCUUUUUGUGCAAUAUGGCACCAAAAUAACAAUAUGGCGCGAACAGCGGGCUCGAUCAAGUACUGAACAGCAAGCGAGAGUUGAUGAAAAUUUCCGAACGGCAACCGAACUAUGCCGAAAGGAGCAAAAUGGCCGAAAUAUACUAAGUGGAAAUUCUUUGAAAGGCUAGAAUAUACAACAUAAAAAAAAGAAAAAUCUAUGCGGCAGGGAAAAAGGAUGCGGGCGGGGACGAGCAACUACUAUUUUUUUUACUUGCCCAAGAUGGGUCGUUUUUUAAGCUUUCGGCAAGAGUUUGUGUAUCAGAUAAAGAUCGAAUGCGAAUGUUUU